UACAGAGGGUGCAAGCGUUGUUCGGAAUUAUUGGGCGGAAAGCGCGUGUAGGCGGCUUUGCAAGUCGGGUGUGAAAGCCCUCAGCUCAACUGAGGAAGUGCGCCCGAAACUGCAGAGCUUGAGUACCGGAGAGGAUGGCGGAAUUCCCGAAGUAGAGGUGAAAUUCGUAGAUAUCAAGAGGAACACCUGAGGUGAAGACGGGUUGCUGGGCCGACACUGACGCUGAGUGCGCGAAAGCCAGGGGAGCAAACGGG
rnacentral:rRNA from 1 species